UUCCCGCGUGAUAUCUGUCAGCUAUGACUCCCCAGAAUGGUGCUCCAACACACUGAAUAAGAGGUCGGAUACCAAUAAUGAUCCCUGCGUAACUAGCGCCCAAGAAUAGCUGUUUAAAAUACAGUGGAAGGUCCAUGAUGGAUUGCUAAGAAAGGCGGUAAAACAAUCGUUAAUGUCUGGAGAUGAAGAAGAAUGGCCAAAAUAUAGUGAGGCAAUACACGCGAAAGUGAUUGGAGCGUGCGACGUGGUCCUUAAAGGAACAGGCCCGUCACAUCACUUUUCAUGGGGUAAAGUUAAGAAACAAAUGAUGUUUACGCCACUCUUCCUGUCGGUUCAACCUCACAAAUUAUAUUUGCCCGCUAAAAUAAUUAUGCAAGAAAUUAAUACUUCCAUGGCUCACUACCCGGGAAACCAUGGAGAAAAGAGAAAUUUGCAUUUCCUAUGAAUACGUGAUUUAAGAGUGUGUCGUCAACGAAACUUCCCGUAAUUCUCCCACACGAGGCCUUUUAAAACCAUGCGAGUUCGCCAGUUUUUAUCAAACUUAACAGAAAUUCGAUAAGAAUGAACUAGAAUGAAUUGGUAAAGAACAAACAGCAUAUGGUACAAGGUGUGCAAAGAAGAUGAUCUCACCACACAUAUAAUGACAUUCAUUUUCUACAAUAAUCUUUUGUCCAUGAUCUAAUCAUCAAAAAGUUUGCACACUAAAGCUUUGUAAUGAACUCAGCUGGGAAUGAUAAAAGGUAUUUAAAUUUGGUUAAGACUAAAGACAUUUGAAGA